UCGGUGUGGUGAGAACUGACAAAUGUGGU
rnacentral:piRNA from 1 species